rnacentral:lncRNA from 1 species
CUGUGAGGGGGGUGAGGUGGAACUUUUCUGCUCCACCACAGCUGAGGGCCAGUCUGUUCGCCUUUGUUGGAUUAAACUUGACCAUGGCCAUGAAUCAAAACUGCCGGGCAAUCGUUACCGUGCCCAGACAACAAACAGCUAUUGUGUCCAUGGAAGAAAUAACACAUUUCACCAGACUGACAUCAGAGCUGAGCAGCGCUGGACUUGUGCCGUCUUUCAAAACAAGGAACUCAGAGCCCUGGUGCCCUUCAGUCUGAAUGUGAAAAAAUGCAGAACAAGCUCCCCUUCCGAACAAACCACAGGAUAUUUUGUCACCAAAAGAGAUACAGACUACAGCAAAACUCACACAGUCAUCUGCAUUUCAUCUCUUCUCAUCAUCCUGCUACUUGUGGUUACCGGUGUGAUGUGCUGUAUAAGGAGAAGUAAAGGGAAGAAGCCGCUGCCAUCAUUCCAGCAGGAGGACACCGUGGUCUAUACUGAUGUAUGUUUUCAGAGGAGAACAGGUACAUCUAUUUGUCAUGCCUCUGUGGGAAAGGAGGGGGUACAGGUGCAUGACGUGGUGCAAAGAGGUUUUUAAUUGCCAAAGGAAACACAGCUCAUGGAUUGAAAGCAUGACAGAAAAACACUUAUAACACACAUCACAUUGCAUACAUUAGACAUUGAAAUGAAUGUGGGCAGUCAAAAACAUAAAUCUACUUCCAACUAUCUAAUUACACUUAAGUAAGGACACAUGCAAGUAAUUAGGA